UGAAAUCCACAACUUCAAGGGUUUUGAGCAGCAUAGCCCCCUGCUGUCAACACUGCCACCGGCAGCUUCUAGCAAGGCCAACCCUUGGAACCUUCUGGACACCAUGUGGGGACGGAGGCCCAGGCAUCUGGAGAUGAAAGGCACAGGGCCAGCUGCAGCCCCAGCCACCACCAAGGAGGCAGCCUAGUCGGUCUUCCCAGGGUUUUCCUCCAGGGCCAUGUGGUUCCAGCCCAAACCCUCCUGCCCCACAAUAGACACAUGGCUCCUGUGGCGUUCACAGAUAGUCCUGAGAAGAGGAACUGGCCUUGAUAUCUGGGCUGUAAAUGGACAUGAAUAUUCAUGGACAUGGCCUAGUGGGUCUCUAGAACCCAUCCAUGUGAGAGUGUACAAAUCUAAAGGCUGUACUGUGUGUGGCAGGAGCCUUCCCUGAGGCAGCAGAGAUACCUCCUUUCAUGUUUGUGGUUACUAGCGAAGCCACCCUUCCCUUUGCACCCAUGACUGACUCAUCAGCAGUUGGCUUCCGAGAGACGAGGAACAGCAAGCUGUGACUGGAAGCUGUUGGGAGCUUCCUUGCUCUGGCACUGGCUAAAACUAGGUCCUAGGCUUACUGUAGAAGCUGGAUGGCUGCUGGCAAGCUCAUGUAAGCUGAGCCCCAGGCACAGACUCAGAGGGAUCCCACCUGGACUGGCUCCCUGAGUCUGUAGGCAAUGACAGUUAAAGCAGGCUUGAAGGGCUUCAGGGGCAAAGCUGAGUCCCUACCAAACAUCAACUGGAUGCUUCAGCUCCAAGCUUCCCACUGGGAUAUCAUCCCUGCAUUUAGAGAUGCCAUCAUCCUUCUAGGAAGACCUGGCAGACCUCAGGGCCUGGCCACUGUUAGCUGGACUCAGCAGCAUCAUGGCAGGCAGGUGGUCUGGCAGUGGGGUGGGGUGCUGGUCUGGAGAGAUGGGCAAGAUGCCGCCUCUCCCCUGGAAAAGACUGCAAAGCUGAAGACAUCAUAUACAAAGUUUGGGCAGCUGAUGGGAGAAGGAAGCGUUCCUGUAGGAGCCUCUCUGGAUUGAGCCCCCUCCGCGAUGCCAUUCACAAUGUGGUAACCCAGAUGACAGAAGCUUGCCCAUCAGAAGCUGAAUUAACAGAACUGUCCAAUUGGGGACUUUCAAUCUUCGAAAUCAAAGGCUAAAUAAAAUUAUCUUCUUAUCAAUAAAG